AGUGAACGCUGGCGGUAGGCCUAACACAUGCAAGUCGAACGGCAGCACAGUAAGAGCUUGCUCUUACGGGUGGCGAGUGGCGGACGGGUGAGGAAUACAUCGGAAUCUACUUUUUCGUGGGGGAUAACGUAGGGAAACUUACGCUAAUACCGCAUACGACCUACGGGUGAAAGCAGGGGAUCUUCGGACCUUGCGCGAUUGAAUGAGCCGAUGUCGGAUUAGCUAGUUGGCGGGGUGAAGGCCCACCAAGGCGACGAUCCGUAGCUGGUCUGAGAGGAUGAUCAGCCCAACUGGAACUGAGACACGGUCCAGACUCCUACGGGAGGCAGCAGUGGGGAAUAUUGGACAAUGGGCGCAAGCCUGAUCCAGCCAUACCGCGUGGGUGAAGAAGGCCUUCGGGUUGUAAAGCCCUUUUGUUGGGAAAGAAAAGCAGCAGGUUAAUACCCCGCUGUUCUGACGGUACCCAAAGAAUAAGCACCGGCUAACUUCGUG
rnacentral:rRNA from 1 species